rnacentral:rRNA from 1 species
CCCUUAGAUGUUCUGGGCCGCACGCGCGCUACACUGAAUGGAUCAGCGUGUUUUCCCUUCCCGAGAGGGACGGGUAACCCGCUGAACCCCAUUCGUGGUAGGGAUCGGAGCUUGCAAUUGUUCUCCGUGAACCAGGAAUUCCCAGUAAGCGCAAGUCAUAAGCUUGCGUUGAUUACGUCCCUGCCCUUUGUACACACCGCCCGUCGCUACUACCGAUUGAACGUUUUAGUGAGGUAUUUGGACUGGACCUUUGAAGGUUAAUUCCUUCAUUGUCGUUCGGGAAGACUCCCAAACUUGAGCGUUUAGAGGAAGUAAAAGUCGUAACA